GCACCGCUAGCUCAGUCGGCAGAGCAGCUGAUUCUUAAUCAGCGGGUCCCAGGUUCGAGUCCUGGGCGGUGCA
rnacentral:tRNA from 1 species